rnacentral:misc_RNA from 1 species
UCCUCCUCCUCGCGCACUAUGCUGCACUUGCGCGAGCGCUACGGACGCGACACAGUCUCAGCUGCGGAUUUAGAAGUUGCCUGGAAGAGAUCGCUUUUAAGCGAUAAGGCCGCCCUUUGUACCUAAUGAAUAUAUUGUCAAUAUUUUUUCUUUCUUUGAUAUGUAUCAUUUCUGUUUUUGGUGUACAAUAAAGUGUAUUAUUAUUAUUAUUA